AAGGUAACUCCUCCACUCAAUAUGUUACGCCAGCCACCCCUACAAAAACAAAUGUCUAACAUGAAUGAGAUCUACACUCUUAAGUCUUAACCAUGUUUGACUUGAGCUCUUCGCUCUUCGCUCUUGCUUGCUAAAGCGAUUUGCAUUGUUGCCGUUAGAAAGAAAAAGAAAAACAAUCUUCAUUAUUGAAAUAACAAAGCGAAUUGAAGCAAGAAAGUUUGAUGUAAUACCGA